rnacentral:snoRNA from 2 species
UGAUGAUCCGAAUUACCGCCCGAGGGCCUUCGGGCUCCGCUGAGGACAUGCUGGUCUGACU